rnacentral:rRNA from 1 species
UCCUACGGGGGGCAGCAGUGAGGAAUAUUGGUCAAUGGGCUUACGCCUGAACCAGCCAAGUCGCGUGAGGGAAGACUGCCCUAUGGGUUGUAAACCUCUUUUGUCAGGGAGCAAUUGGCGCUACGUGUAGCGUUAUCGAGAGUACCUGAAGAAAAAGCAUCGGCUAACUCCGUGCCAGCAGCCGCGGUAAUACGGAGGAUGCGAGCGUUAUCCGGAUUUAUUGGGUUUAAAGGGAGCGUAGACGGCAGCGCAAGCCUGGAGUGAAAUGCCGGGGCUCAACCCCGGAACUGCUUUGGAAACUGUGC